rnacentral:rRNA from 1 species
CCUACGGGUGGCUGCAGUGGGGAAUUUUGGACAAUGGGCGAAAGCCUGAUCCAGCAAUGCCGCGUGAGUGAAGAAGGCCUUCGGGUUGUAAAGCUCUUUUGUUUGGGAAGAAAUCCCUAAGGAUAAUACCCUUGGGGGAUGACGGUACCAAAAGAAUAAGCACCGGCUAACUACGUGCCAGCAGCCGCUGUAAUACGUAGGGUGCAAGCGUUGAUCGGAAUUACUGCAGGCGGAGCGGGCGCAGGCGGGUGAAAUCCCCGAGCUCAACUUGGGAACUGCACUUGUGACUGCAAGACUAGAGUGUGUCAGAGGGAGGUAGAAUUCCACGUGUAGCAGUGAAAUGCGUAGAUAUGUGGAGGAAUACCAGUGGCGAAGGCGGCCUCCUGGGAUAACACUGACGCUCAUGUACGAAAGCGUGGGGAGCAAACAGGAUUAGAUACCCGGGUAGUC